AGACCCCUUGGUUCCUGCCUAGUUCUGCUCAAUCCCCCACCAAUGCCCCCCAGUGACCUGGAACUCCAGCCUCUGGACACCACCAUAGAUAGAAAGAGAUCAAUGGCCUUGAAGUGAUGUAGAAAAAUGGCUUGUGAAAAGCAAUAACCUUAUUGUUAUGAACAAGAAUGUGCAUGAAUUUGCUGUUAAACCCCCGAAACGUUGCUGGGUUAAACUUCAUUUCUCUCCAGAGACACUGGGGACAUUUGGGACAUCUGGGACAUCAGAGACAUCAGGAUUAUCUAGGACAUUUGGGAUAUCAGGGACAUCUGGGACACUUGGAAUAUUUGGGACAUCAGGGAAUGAGGGAAACCUCCUGAAGUCCCUUCUGCUGCCAUUGCACUUUCUUUUCUUUACCUGAAUGCCUUUCAGCUAAACAAUGUGCCUUUAAUUAUUUUUGACCCCUGGUCCCCAUUUCACUACAAAUGUACCAGAAUUAUCACAGCCUUACAUGAUACUGUUGAUAUGGUUAUCUGGUUCUGAAUAGCCUUGCUUCCCCAGACUCCCUGUCAUCAUUCCAGACUCUACUCUGCCCUUGGUGUAAUCAAGGCCAAGGAGGUUCUUAUCUUAUGUACUGAUAUUUUACAUAUCAGAUCAAUGGGAUAUGCUUUGCUUUCUUUCAGUAGCCCCUAAAACCCCUCCAUGGUAAUGUCCCUGUUCUGUUACUGGCUGUUAGUGCAUCGGUGCGGUCCUACUUCCUUUCCAGAAUAUCCCUGUGCUUCUGUCUGAGACAUUCUGUAGCCCAUUUCAUAGCUCUAAUAUUAAGCCACCGUUCUCAAUUAUACCUUCCUCAGAAUAUCUUUUUACCUCUCUCGUUUACAGCCCUCGUGCUGGCACAUACCAUGCAAUAAUCACACUUUUUCAAUGCCUCAUUAUCUGCUAAGCAAAACUGUACUGUCAGCAUCUAUUCUUUAUCGUUCUUCUAGCUGAUAACUGGUUUUAAUUCCUCCAGUAAAAUUAAAGCAUAGACCCAGUGCCAAUGACUCUGUGGUCUUGAACUUUGAAGCAGGAACGUUUUUAAAAAUGAUAAACAUCUACUUCCAUUUCAGAAAAACUUAACUAUUAAAAUAAUGUGUAGGAGUUCAAGUGACUACCUCUCCUACCCCCUCUAUCUUCUCCUGAAUUGGACAUGACCUCUGAAAAGGAACAUUUCUUUCCAUUUGUCUUGCUUCAGUAGUUUACAACAAACCUUUGAACAGUGAGAAUCUUGUUUAUUCCCGGACACCUCGUUCUAUAAAAGGCUUUUCUCAGACUGGCACAAAGACUACUGAAAUCAGCCAUCCUGAAUCAUCUGGACAAAAUAUGAAAUUCAUUGUUUCUUUCUUCAUUCUCUUCACCCUUACUGCUCUUCAGAAUGCAGGAGCUCAAGACUCUUGCUCACACCAGUGUGGGGAGCUGCUCAGUACCUGUUCUUGCCAGGUGACAUGCCAGUCCUUGGGGAAUUGCUGCCCUGAUUAUAAAGAAUUUUGUCUUCAGAUUUCUCCGUACUCAGGAUCUCUGAUGGGAGGCAAAGACUUUUUGAUUGAAAAUACAGCUUUUAAUACCUCUUCUGUGCUAACAUGCAGGUUCAAGCAGGAAAUCAAAACCAGUGGCUAUACUGCUAAGGAUGGAAAAGGCCACUGCAUCUCCCCGUUGCUUUAUGAGACUGGUUUCAUCCCUUUUGAAGUUUCUGUAGAUGAUGGGAGGACGUUCCCCUACUCUGGAACUUGGCUAUCAGUACAUCACAGCAAGGUUUCAGAUGAAGAAAAAUGUACUUUGGUGAAUGAGACAAAAUGGCAAUACUAUGGUACCCCCAACACUUAUGGAAACUUAACUCUUACCUGGACACAUCAGGCACUUGCAGAAACCCACGUCAACAUAGAAGUCUGGGGAUACCAUGAAACAGGUGACAGUUACUCAGAAAACUGGUUGGCUGAAUGGAAAUAUCUUUAUACUUUGGCCAGAGAAAUCCCCAAUACAGGGAAAUUUACUUUCACUCCUGUACCUGCUGAAGGAAAUUACAGUACGUGGGACUUCGGAAUUUUGAGGAUUACACCCAGCAGCUAUUCUGAUGGGCAGAGCAACAUUCCAUCACUCUGGAGCAACGAGCAUGCAUUGGCUUGGCACCUCGGGAAAGACUUCAGGGAUGACCCAAAUGCAUGGGCAACUGCAAAAUGUAUGGAAUGGGACAGAAAGGAAGAGAAGCUUCCAAACUUCAAGGAAGAAAUUAUAGACUGCCCUUGCACUUUGGCACAGGCAAGAGCUGACACUGGCAGGUUCCAUACAGAUUAUGGCUGCAACAUUGAGAAGGGGAGUGUGUGUACUUAUCACCCUGGUGCUGUGCACUGUGUGAGAGCCAUUCAAGCCAGUCCCCAGUAUGCAGCAGGACAGCAGUGUUGCUAUGACUCCACGGGAACACAGAUCCUCACACAUGACUCCACGGGAGGCAGCACACCCGAUCGAGGCCAUGACUGGGGUUCACCACCUUUCCUGAAACCUCCCCGGAUACCUGGCUUUUCCCAUUGGCUUUAUGAUGUUAUCAGCUUCUAUUACUGCUGCCUGUGGUCUGAUAAUUGUCAGUUCUAUAUGAAAAGGCGUCCCUCUAGUGACUGCAGGACGUAUCGCCCACCUCGAGCUGCAUCUGCUUUUGGGGAUCCUCAUUUCUUCACAUUUGAUGGUCUGAACUUCACCUUCAAUGGCCUAGGAGAAUACCUGUUGGUAGAGUCUGAUCUCACAUCCCUAAGAGUGCAAGGGAGGACACAGCAGGGUCGCCUUCCCAAUGGAACUGGAGCUCAGGGGACAGGCUUGUCUGCAGUGGCCAUGCAGGAGAACAACUCUGAUGUGAUUGAAGUACGGUACUCAGAGGAUUUGAAUCUGGAGGUCCUGUUAAACCAAAAGGUUCUCAACUUCUCUGAACAGACCUGGAUGGACCUGAAAGGUCUCUUUCUCCAUUCUACACCUGAUCAGAACAUCACAGUGAUGUUCUCUUCUGGGUGUGGAGUGGAAAUACGAGGAAGUGGAGGAUUUCUGACCCUGACAGUUCUGCUCCCAGAGAAGUUCAUGAAUCACACACAGGGUCUCUUUGGGGUAAUGAAUGGCAAUACAGAGGAUGAAUACACUUUCAGGAAUAAAACCACCCUACCAGUUCAUGCAAGUCCCCAGCAGUUGUUUGAGUUUGGAGCUAACUGGGCUAUUGAGAAUGGAACUUCUCUCUUUACUUAUGACACAGAGUUCUUACUGAACAAUUUCUUUUAUGGGGAGAAGCACAGUGCUUCCUUCCUGCCCGUGUUCUUCCCUUAUGAAGACCCUGCUGAUCCCCUGGUAGAAGAGAUGGUCUCACUCUGUGGCUCUGACCCGUUCUGCAGAUUCGAUGUCCUGACAACAAGAAGCCUUCAAGUGGGAAAUUCCACAAGACUAUCUCAUCAGAAUCACAAGCUGCUGGUAGAACAUCUGGAGCCAGUCAGGGCUAUGAACUCACCGGGUCAAAGGAAAGAACUUGCCAAACAUCGGGGGCCUGGUCUGGAGACACACCCAGUUGCAUCCAGAAAACAGCUAUUGAACAACUAAUUCUUCUUGGCUGUGUAUUUGGAAUAGUCGGUGUUGCAGUCCUGGCACGUCUGACUUUUUUAUGUAGAAAGGAGAGACACAAAGGAAACCAGAAACUUGUUUCAGAAGUUCCAGUAGAAUAAGAGACAAUGAAAUUCCAGCGGAGUUUUUAAUGAAAUACAGAAAAAGCAUAGCAGAGGCUUAAAUCAUCCACAGCAACAAAUAUCGACUUUCCAAACACAAACAAUGGUAUCAUUUUGUAUGAUAUAAUUUGAUUUCUGCUAUCAAUAUAAUGAGUAUUGAAUUGUAUGGGAAAUGCUAAUCAAAUUCCUGACAUUACAUCCUGGCAGGCUGAGCAAAAGACAAUGUUUCUGAAAGCAUUUAUAUUAGAAAUAUAAAAUUAUUUAUUCAUUACUUAUUAGCUGCCAUUGCUGUUGCCAUUGUUGUUUGUAUACAGAGACCAUAAACCACAAAAAGAAAAUUACAAAAUGAGAAUGAGUGACCUUGAAUACAGUAAGUUGAAAUACAAAUAGAAAGAAAAAAUCUUGUAAAAAAAAAAAAAAGAACUUUGAAAGAAA